AAGUCGUAACAAGGUUUCCGUAGGUGAACCUGCGGAAGGAUCAUUACUGAAUUGUCAAACGGGUUGUUGCUGGCCCUCAUAGGGGGCAUGUGCACGCUCUGUUUACACAUCCACUCACACCUGUGCACCCUCUGUAGUUCUAUGGUCUGGGGGACCCUGUCUUCCUUCUGUGGUUCUACGUCUUUACACACACACUGUAAUAAAGUUUUAUGGAAUGUACAUCGCGUCUAACGCAAUACAAUACAACUUUCAGCAACGGAUCUCUUGGCUCUCGCAUCGAUGAAGAACGCAGCGAAAUGCGAUAAGUAAUGUGAAUUGCAGAAUUCAGUGAAUCAUCGAAUCUUUGAACGCACCUUGCGCCCCUUGGCUAUUCCGAGGGGCAUGCCUGUUUGAGUAUCAUGAACACCUCAACUCUCAUGGUUUGCCAUGAUGAGUUGGACUCUGGGGGUUUUGCUGGCCUGUGGUCGGCUCCUCUCAAAUUAAUCAGCCUCCCAGUGUUUGGUGGCAUCACGGGUGUGAUAAAUAUCUACGCUCGCUGUUGUCUGCCAGGUAACCUUUGGUCACAAAGGUUUGCUGGAGCUCACAGAUGUCUCUCCUCAGCGAGGACAGCUUUUUUAACGUUCGAUCUCAAAUCAGGUAGGACUACCCGCUGAACUUAAGCAUAUCAA
rnacentral:rRNA from 1 species